GAGAGGAAGCGACAGGGGUGGAGAGAGAGAGAGAGAGGAAGCGACAGGGGUGGAGAGAGAGAGAGAGGAAGCGACGGGUGGAGAGAGAGAGAGAGGAAGCGACAGGGGUGGAGAGAGAGAGAGAGGAAGCGACAGGGGUGGAGAGAGAGAGAGGAAGAGACAGGGGUGGAGAGAGAGAGAGAGGAAGAGACAGGGGUGGAGAGAGAGAGAGGAAGAGACAGGGGGGUGGAGAGAGAGAGAGAGGAAGAGACAGGGGUGGAGAGAGAGAGAGAGGAAGAGACAGGGGUGGAGAGAGAGAGAGAGGAAGAGACAGGGAUGGAGAGAGAGAGAGAGAGGAAGAGACAGGGAUGGAGAGAGAGAGAGAGAGGAAGAGACAGGGAUGGAGAGAGAGAGAGGAAGAGACAGGGAUGGAGAGAGAGAGGAAGAGACAGCGGUGGAGAGAGCGAGAGAGGAAGAGACAGGGGUGGACAGAGCGAGAGAGAGAGACGGGUGGAGAGAGCGAGAGAGGAAGAGAAAGGGGUGGAGAGAGCGAGAGAGGAAGAGACAGGGGUGGAGAGAGCGAGAGAGGAAGAGACAGGGGUGGAGAGAGCGAGAGAGGAAGAGA
ensembl:lncRNA